GUUUGAUCCCUGGCUCAGGACGAACGCUGGCGGCAUGCCUAAUACAUGCAAGUCGAGCGGAGUUGAUAGGAAGCUUGCUUCCUUGAUACUUAGCGGCGGACGGGUGAGUAACACGUAGGCAACCUGCCCUCAAGUUUGGGACAACUACCGGAAACGGUAGCUAAUACCGAAUAAUUGUUUUCUUCGCCUGAAGGAAACUGGAAAGACGGAGCAAUCUGUCACUUGGGGAUGGGCCUGCGGCGCAUUAGCUAGUUGGUGGGGUAACGGCUCACCAAGGCGACGAUGCGUAGCCGACCUGAGAGGGUGAUCGGCCACACUGGGACUGAGACACGGCCCAGACUCCUACGGGAGGCAGCAGUAGGGAAUCUUCCGCAAUGGGCGAAAGCCUGACGGAGCAAUGCCGCGUGAGUGAUGAAGGUUUUCGGAUCGUAAAGCUCUGUUGCCAGGGAAGAACGCUUGGGAGAGUAACUGCUCUCAAGGUGACGGUACCUGAGAAGAAAGCCCCGGCUAACUACGUGCCAGCAGCCGCGGUAA
rnacentral:rRNA from 1 species